GACGAACGCUGGCGGCGUGCUUAACAAAUGCAAGUCGAACGAUGAAGCCGGAGCUUGCUCCGGUGGAUUAGUGGCGAACGGGUGAGUAACACGUGAGCAAUCUGCCCUUGACUCUGGGAUAACUGCGGGAAACUGUAGCUAAUACCGGAUACGACACCUUGGGGCAUCCCAGGGUGUGGAAAGAAUUUCGGUCAAGGAUGAGCUCGCGGCCUAUCAGCUAGUUGGUGAGGUAAUGGCUCACCAAGGCGGCGACGGGUAGCCGGCCUGAGAGGGUGACCGGCCACACUGGAACUGAGACACGGUCCAGACUCCUACGGGAGGCAGCAGUGGGGAAUAUUGCACCAUGGGCGAAAGCCUGAUGCGGCAACGCCGCGUGAGGGAUGAAGGCCUUCGGGUUGUAAACCUCUUUUAGCAGGGAAGAAGCGGAAGUGACGGUACCUGCAGAAAAAGCACCGGCUAACUACGUGCCAGCCGCCGCUGUAA
rnacentral:rRNA from 1 species